GACGUAGGGCGCGAGCGUUGUCCGGAUUUAUUGGGCGUAAAGAGCUCGUAGGCGGCUUGUCGCGUCGUCCGUGAAAACCUGCAGCUCAACUGCAGGCUUGCGGUCGAUACGGGCAGGCUAGAGUUCGGUAGGGGAGACUUGGAAUUCCUGGUGUAGCGGUGAAAUGCGCAGAUAUCAGGAGGAACACCGGUGGCGAAGGCGGGUCUCUGGGCCGAUACUGACGCUGAGGAGCGAAAGCGUGGGGAGCGAAC
rnacentral:rRNA from 1 species